ACGCCCAGGCUCCAGGCUUUUCCUCCCGGCUGGGGCCCUGACUGCAGCCCCACGUGGGGAGGAGGGAGCCCCGAGGCAGCAGGGGCUGGUGGGGGGCCAGAGGCUGCGGCGUCAGUGGGAGGACAGGCGGCUGUGCUGGAGCAGUGGAUCGAUCUCCCCGAGCCCGUGAUGGCCCCGCAGGGAGGGAUCUGCAGAAGCUGUUGCAGACAAGCUGUGCCUGAUGUGAUGAGCCGGCCUGCGCCGGGCGGACGGGAAGUAAACACCAGCACCACUGAUUGAUGGCUGGGGUCUGAGGCUGCGCCUUCACACCGCCUGUGCGUCCGUCUGUCCGUGUGCACGCCCAGCUCUCCUGCCGUAGCAAAGUGCUUAAAGCAACGGACGUUUAUUCUCUGACAGUCCAGGAGGCCAGAGGUCUGAGCCUGACCAGAAGAAACAUAACACAGGCCACACGUUAGAGAAAAGUGAAAGGAAACAGGGACAGAUGAGCUGCUGGACAGAGGGACGAGAAAGCCCGUGCCCCGCUCAGCUCCCCACUGCAGGAACAGGACUGUUUGCAAGCCGGGUUUCCGGCCCACCAGCAGCCUCCCUCCAGGGCUGGAGCAGACCCCGGAGUCGGGAUGAGCUAAGUGACGUCCAGGGCUAAGAAGAAGGGGUCGCCGCCCCUCCCGGCCACUGAGGAACGGCUGGGCAGGAGGACGGGGGGACGGAGGGAAGGUCCUCGAGGUCUCUGCAUUAGGCAAGUCGAAGGGCCCCCCAGGGCAUUGGGGUGCUGGGCUCUGCCCCUCUGGCUGCCCCGGGCCACCUGGGGAUGGGGAGGUGGCAGGGGCUGCUGCUCCCAGUCUCGCCCGAGCCACUCGCCGAGCCCGCAGCUCCCUCGGCCCCCGCGACCAGGAGGAGGAGGGUCACCAUAAGCCGGGGACCCCUGGUGCCUCCCAGGGCACCUGCAGGCCCGGGUGAGGGUGGGGGGCAGCUCCCUCCAUUCUGCGAGGUCGGGGCCUCCCUGGCCACCCCACAUGCCUGGGUGCCAUUUCUGGGAGAGAAACCGGGGCAGGAAGGAGAGAAGAUGGAGCCCUCCUUCCCAGAGGGACUUUAAAGAUCAUCAUAAUACUCUGAACUGGUGUGGGCAUUUUUUUUCCUUUUUUCCCCCAGGCGGUUCGGGCCUGGGACAAGACCAGCUUAGCAGCAGACAGAACGGAGAAAGGAGGCUUCCUGGGGAUGUCCAGCUUGACGGGUGCCGUCUGUUUUCAAACCUGCGACAAUGGUCUUUCCUGGUUCUGUCCGAAUCUAAAAACCCUUCAGCUAUGAGGUCCACCCUCAUUCAGUUUGGCCUCAACUUAACCAAAACGGCGUCUUCAAGGUCCCAUUGAUGAAGCGGGUGCACCCUCGCAGGUCUGGGGCCGAGGCCUGACCGUGUCUGUGGGGUGUGACGCGAUCCCCACAGCCGCCUUCGCGCCUUCUGCGGGGCCCCUGGGGUCCCAGGACCUUCCAGCCCCUCCAGGCUCUGGCAUCGGGAGGCGCCUUCUGUCCCAGUGCACACUGGGUCCCUGCGUGCUGCCUCAUGGAGCUGCAGGCUGGUGGGUGACACCCCACAGAGACCGCGAGAGACACGACCCACACCUGGGAGGCCUGACGUGCAGGGGAGAGCGCUUGGCGAGGGGCCGCUAAGGGAGGCCUGAGUGAUGGGAAGGAGCCGGCACGUGGGAAGUGGGGAGCACAGCGUUUCAGGCCCAACUGUCUGUGCAAAGGCCCCGGGGUUAGGACGAGGCCCGUUUGAGGCCCGGCUGGGACACCACAGCGGCAGGAGCACCCGCGUUGGGGGCCAGGCUGGGAGGGCCACAGCCUGCAGGGCCUGACUGAUGUGGUGAGGAACUCAGACCGUUAGCCAAGAGGCAAGGAGCUUCUUGAAGAUUCUAAGAGGGGAACUAACCGUUGGUCCAUAUAUUACGGUUGUUACAUUAGUUGUCGGUAGAGCACAGACUGUGGGGGAGCAGAAGGGGGGCUGGAAGCUCUCAUGGGGGGCUCUGGAAAAUCCAGGAGAGACGGUGGCCGAGGAGAGCAGAGACGUGGAUCCGCUGAUGGGCUGGUUUGGAAGCUUGAUGGAGGGCGAGGAGGAAGAAAGUAGAGUCAAAGAAGGUGACUGAGAAGCAAAGAUCUGUCUUACCCAGACAGAGGGCUGGCUUCCGCCUGAGGCUCCUGGGGGUGGUCUCCAGGGGGUCUCCUGGUCUCUGGAGCGCCCUGCCUGAUGGGAUCUCUGUUUGCUGAGGGGCUUGGGUGAUUUAUGAUGGGGACUUUGGGCCAGGCCGUGUCAGUUCCAAUCUCCAGGAGAGGCUGGAGACCGAGGGGUAUGGAUUGAGCAGAAGCCUGGUUGUCAGUCCUCUGUGGGAGCUGUCACAGCCCUGGCCGGGAGGAGGGACACCACCACUGGGGACUCCGUGGGGAGAGGACGACCGGAAGCUCUGCGUCUGGACCCCUCCCAGAGCCGGCCCGGUUCUCUCUCGAGCUGUGCGACCCCUUCCCCAUGUAGAAUGAUGGCGUGGUGUCGCAAUUCUGCAUGCAUUGUGCCAAGUGCCCAAGGAGCCAGCCUGGAGCCCACGGGCCUGGGGAGGGGUGCCCUGGGAUCAGCAUACGGAGCACCAGCCUCCGGGGAGGGGCCCCCAGCCUUCAGAGAUUACAGAUGUGCAGUCCCGAGAAGCAAUGAAGAGGAGGAGGCCCAGGCCCUGGGGGACAUCUAUUCAGCAGCCAGCCCUGCUUAUGGUCCAGAGACAUCAAUAAUGCCUAUUAGGUAGUGAGUUUCCCGGCCUAGGAGGCAUGCAAGCCCUGAGGCUUGGAAAAGUGUGGAUUGCAGGGCUGAUGACCUCGGCAGGGGUCCGAGGCCCUUGCAGAUGUGGACAUCUGAGACCCACAGGCUGGAGGGGGCAGGCUUCUUCCCUGACAACCAUGGCACUGGGGCAGGGGGAGGGAGUCUCAAGGGCAGGGGCCUAGCGUCUAAACCUCUCAGCCUGCGUUGCCAGGCUCUGCGACGCAGGGAAAUGCACAGAACAUCGAGGAUCUGUCUGCAGAAUCGUUUGGCUGUUUUCCCAGCUCCGGCUUCUAAGCUUAGUGCAGGAAGGCCCCUGUCCCCUUUCCUUGGUGGGUCAGCCCGCUCAGGUCCUGGACAGGAGCAGCUGUGGGCAAGGAGUCCACGGGGACCUCCAGACCCCCUCCCUGCCCUCAGCCCCCUUCCCACCUGGCGCAGGUGGCUGCCUGAAUAGAGCUGCACCGAUGCCCCCUGAACCCUAGACCCCAUCCCACGGGCCUGGGACCUGCCCCUCCCAGUGUUUCUGCACCAGGUCAGUUUUGCAUACCCCGACCCUGUGUUUUUAAUCAAACUGGCUGCAUGGGCCAAGCCACCCGAGCGUCCGCUGAGAGCUUUCCCACCAGGCACUGCUGCCGUGCCUUUUUGAGUGAGCAGGGCCAGUCUUAUUUAGCCUGUUGUCUUGGUUUCCUCGGGCUGCAGUGACAAAGCACCAGGAGCUGGAGUCAGGGAGGAGGGGGCUUACAGCAACAGACAGCUGUUGGCUCCCUCUGAGCCCUGCGGGAAGGCUCUGUCCCGGCCUCUCUCCUGGCUCCUGGGUGGGACGGCCAGGAGCUCCCCGGGCUCUUUCCCGCCUGCUCCCCAGGGGCUUCUCCCCUUCUGGGUUCCCCAGUCCGUGGGGUGAGGGGCUGCCCCGCGCCAGCCCGACCUCCUCUUCAUGUGCCUCGUUCCAUCCGUAAAAGCCCAUCUCCAAAUGGGGUCACUCUGAGGUGCUGGGGUCAGGAUGUCAACAUACCUUUUUGGGGGACAUAGUAGAGCCCUAACUGGUUAACAAGGGGACUGGCAAGAUGGUAAAGGAGAGUACGAAAAUCUCCCCUAUCUAUGUCUGGUCAGAGGGGCAAAAGACAAUGCAGGCCCCAGAUUGCUAAAUUAGACACAGCAUUGGUUGAUCUCUUGCAGGACAAUAAAACCACAGCCAUUGGAAUUA